CACGUAGGGCGCAAGCGUUGUCCGGAAUUAUUGGGCGUAAAGAGCUCGUAGGUGGUUUGUUACGUCUGCUGUGAAAACCUAGGGCUUAACCCUGGGCUUGCAGUGGAUACGGGCAGACUAGAGGUAGGUAGGGGAGAAUGGAAUCCCUGGUGUAGCGGUGAAAUGCGCAGAUAUCAGGAAGAACACCAGCGGCGAAGGCGGCACUCUGGGCCGGUACUGACGCUGAGGAGCGAAAGCGUGGGUAGCAAACAGG
rnacentral:rRNA from 1 species